ACUCCUACGGGAGGCAGCAGUGGGGAAUAUUGGACAAUGGGCGAAAGCCUGAUCCAGCCAUGCCGCGUGUGUGAAGAAGGUCUUCGGAUUGUAAAGCACUUUAAGUUGGGAGGAAGGGCAGUAAGUUAAUACCUUGCUGUUUUGUACGUUACCAACAGAAUAAGCACCGGCUAACUUCGUGCCAGCAGCCGCGGUAAUACGAAGGGGUGCAAGCGUUAAUCGGAAUUACUGGGCGUAAAGCGCGCGUAGGUGGUUCAGCAAGUUGGAUGUGAAAUCCCCGGGGCUCAACCUGGGAACUGCAUCCAAAACUACUGAGCUAGAGUACGGUAGAGGGUGGUGGAAUUUCCUGUGUAGCGGUGAAAUGCGUAGAUAUAGGAAGGGACACCAGUGGCGAAGGCGACCACCUGGACCGAUACUGACACUGAGGUGCGAAAGCGUGGGGAGCAAACAGGAUUAGAUACCCCUGGUAGGAUAGCG
rnacentral:rRNA from 1 species